GUUUCUUUUGUUACUAAUUACAGAUACAGGAAGUUCCUGACCUAUCAGUCUUUACAGUCGACGUGACAGUUGGGCUCUCAGCUAUAGGAGGGACUUGCCAACACGUGGCAACCAAACAAAUAACUAUGUGGAGGCUGCAAUGCGUGUCUUGAAAGACAAAAUACUUCAAAGGACAAAAGCAUUCAACCUGCCUCAAUUAUUCAACCUUUUCAUUACCCGACUAGAGAUGUACUAUGAAGCACAUGUGACAGACGUUGCACUUGGCCAUUGGGAGGCAUUCCACCGGUCAAGAUUCCUUGCUACACAAAGUAAUAUAAAAGCAUCUGAUAUUUCUCAGGUUGGAGAAAAGAAAUUUCAGGUGAGAUCGUCCACAUCAGGGCACACCUAUACAGUGGACAUGGAGUUGGAGCUCUGCACUUGUCCAGUUGGCCAUAGUGGGGCACCAUGCAAACACCAGGCAGCAGUAGUGCAAAAUUACAACAUCACCUCCAUCAACUUUCUCCCCACAACAGCUGAAAUGAGGGCUGAGCUGCUGAAAAUAACAAAAGCUUCAGUUUCUCUUGACUUUCUAAACCCUUUACGGCAAAAUAUGCCAACGCCAAGCACAUUAGCUCCAGACAUGCCUCCCAGGCAAGAAACCUGCACUACUGAUCAUCAGUAUCAUCUCAGUGCUCAAGAUGAUGGUCAGUAUAAAGGGAGGGAUGGUGCUGUUUUUUUAUGUAUUCUUUUUUUCCCUUUUCUUUCUAAUGGUGGCAUAUUGAACAGAAACACUAUUGUAACAUUUCAAUUUGUCUAUCUGUAUCUUAUGAAUUGUAGAGUCACAUCAGCUGGACCUGUCUUCCACCAGCUCUGCACAAUUGCACCAAACAUCACCUAUGCAAGAGGACUCAUACUCCAACCAACCCUGUGUACAGGUUAACUCAGAGGGAGGUGAGUCCAUGAAGCUUAGAGUUACAUUAAAAAUUCUGUCUAGAUGUUUAUUUGG
rnacentral:lncRNA from 1 species